rnacentral:lncRNA from 1 species
CUUCUUCAUCUCAUUAUUAACAGUUUAAAAAGGUUUUAAUUUAUAAAACUUAAGGGGAAUUUGUUAACAAAAUUGUUUGUCUUUGUGAUAUUUCACAUCAGGUUAUCCUGAUGCAAAUUUUAGAAUGCUACUAGUAUACAAGGGGGGGGGAGGGAAUAAAAAAACAACUACGAUUGGUCUAGGCUUGAAAGUUAUCUCAUUGGCAGUCAUACCACUUCUCCUUUUUUUUUAAUAUAUGUAUGAAUAUUAACUGUUUGGAAUAUGUCAAUAAUAGAAGUCUGACAGCAACCAUUUAAGAUUGAUUGAUUGAUUGAUUGUUGGUUGCUUAACAUCCAGUGGCAAAACCAUUUAAGAUAAUAUAAUACAAUAAUCAUGAUAAUAGUCAAC